rnacentral:lncRNA from 1 species
AGAGAGAGAGAGAGAAACGAAAUUUCAUCUAUUGAAAUGCUUCUGCAUAAGGGUUCUAUUUAUAGAACCACUUAUGUGGGCUGCAAGCUAAAAAGCCCACUUAAGUGUAUGUGGCCCAUAUCUUAUGGUAUACCUAAAAUCACUUAAGUGUGUGGUACCUUACUACAUUUUGUAUUCUACUUAAGUGCAUCGUACCUUACGAUGUUCUACAAUUCACUUGAGUGCAGCGUACCUUACGGUGUUCCUUAUUUACUCUAUCUCUCAUCAAU